UGUUGUACAUGUAACUGACCAAAAUAAAAACAAAAACACAUUGCAUGACUUUAAAGCUAUGUGCAAAAUAUUAAAAAGCUAGAAAAUCCCAGAGGAAAUUGUUAUGAAUGAACAUUGGCAGACACGUGAACAGAUGUUAACCUGUAUGUUGGCAAAUUAGAUAAUGUUAUUGAACUCUACUGUUCUUGUACUGACAAUAUACUUUAGUGUUGAUGUUAGGGUAAGGCUUAUAGUUAGCGAUCAAGCUUAGCUGUUAGGGAUAGCAGUCAGGCUUAGCUGUUAGGGAUAGCAGUCAGGCUUAGCUGUUAGGGAUAGCUGUUAGGCUUAGCUGUUAGGGAUAGCUGUUAGGUUUAGCUGUUAUGGAUAGUGGUCAGGCUUAGCUGUUAGAGAUAACAGUCAGGCUUAGCUGUUAAGGAUAGUGGUCAGGCUUAGCUGUUAGGGAUAACAGUCAGGCUUAGCUGUUAGGGAUAGCGGUCAGGUUUAGCUGUUAGAGAUAACAGUCAGGCUUAGCUGUUAGGGAUAGCGGUCAGGCUAAGCUGUUAGGGAUAGCGGUCAGGCUUAGCUGUUAGCAAUAGCAGUCAGGCUUAGCUGUUAGAGAUAGUGGUCAGGCUUAGCUGUUUGGGAUAGUAGACAGAAUUAUCGGUUUGGGUUAGGGUUAACUCUGUUUAUAAUUUAAAUUUGCUUGUACUUAUUAUCAUACGAAAUAAACAGGAUGAAAUCUGUUUUCCAGGUUUUCUUGAUACAACUCAAAAACUAUCAUCCCGGGACUUCUAACUAUUACAAUUGGAAAACAAACACUGUCUAUUUUCAAAUUAAAAUAUGGUCAUUCAAAUAGGUAAAGUUUUUGACACAUGACAAACUUCAGAUUAAG
rnacentral:lncRNA from 1 species